GGUCAGGUGGCCGAGUGGUUAUGGCGCAGGUUUCAGGCUAUCUGAGACUUCUGUCGAAGCGAUAUCCGAAAAUACCUGUUCGGAAACGUGCGUGGGUUCGAUUCCCACCCUGAUCA